rnacentral:rRNA from 1 species
CCUACGGGAGGCAGCAGUGGGGAAUAUUGGACAAUGGGCGAAAGCCUGAUCCAGCAAUGCCGCGUGAGUGAUGAAGGCCUUAGGGUUGUAAAGCUCUUUUACCAGGGAUGAUAAUGACAGUACCUGGAGAAUAAGCUCCGGCUAACUCCGUGCCAGCAGCCGCGGUAAUACGGAGGGAGCUAGCGUUGUUCGGAAUUACUGGGCGUAAAGCGUACGUAGGCGGUUAUUCAAGUCAGAGGUGAAAGCCCGGGGCUCAACCCCGGAACUGCCUUUGAAACUAGAUAGCUAGAAUCUUGGAGAGGUUAGUGGAAUUCCGAGUGUAGAGGUGAAAUUCGUAGAUAUUCGGAAGAACACCAGUGGCGAAGGCGGACUAACUGGACAAGUAUUGACGCUGAGGUACGAAAGCGUGGGGAGCAAACAGGAUUAGAUACCCUGGUAGUCCACGCCGUAAACGAUGAUAACUAGCUGUUCGGGCACUUGGUGCCUGAGUGGCGCAGCUAACGCAUUAAGUUAUCCGCCUGGGGAGUGCGGUCGCAAGAUUAAAACUCAAAAUGAAAUUGACGG